GGCCCUGUCCCUGCGCCCCAGCGACGCCAGGCAGGCACACACGGCAUCCAGAUGACAAGCAGGGGCCGCCCCGCCCCCACCGCCGCCCCCUCUCCACGUGGCCCCUUCUUCCUCCUGAGCCCGGCCUCCAGGAAGCCGGGGCAGGAAGUGGCUUGGCCUGGCUUCCUGCUGCCCCCGGCCUCCCCUCCCCCAGGGGCGCUGCUGGGGAGGGCCCGCGGCGGGGGGGGGGGGUCUCCUCCUAGCUCACGGAGGAGGCUGGGGGGCGCAGGCCAUCGCCCACUGGCGGAGCCGCCUUGCGUGGGGCGGGGGUUCCUGCCGGUUGGAGCAGAGACUCAGGUCCUCUGAUGCCCGCGCGGCCCCUGGCAGACCCGGAGGGGGUCCCUCCUGGACAGGUCACGCCCACCCCACCCUGGCCCGGUGACCGGAGCACUGGGUCAUCUUCAGCUGUGCCCCGCGCAGGAGCUGCGUCAGAGCCGGGGCUCAGCUCCACAGCGCCCCCAGCUGUCCGCCCGCCGGCUCCCCUGAGGCGGGGGGCUGCCCUGGGACGGACGCGGUCCCCGCGCUUCCGCACACAGGCCAGGGCCCCAGACCAUGGCAGGGGGUGGCCCAGGAGCCCCCGCAGCUUCCCCUGUCGCUGCUGAAGACGGCGCAGAACCACCCCAUGCUGGUGGAGCUGAAGAACGGGGAGACGUACAACGGGCACCUGGUCAGCUGCGACAACUGGAUGAACAUCAACCUGCGGGAGGUGAUCUGCACGUCCAGGGUGAGGCCCGCGCCGCCCCGCCCCCCUGCGGCCCCGCCCCGCCCCCCUGCGGCCCCGCCCCGUGGGCGUCACCCGGCCAGCAGGAGGAGGGCAGCGCCCCCACCGCCGGGACCUACCGGGUGAUGUGGGAGGGGCGGGGCGGCUCCCCAGGACCCACUGAGGGCCUCCCCCCGGGCUGCGAGCCCCUGCAGACCCCGGGGUGGCCGCCAGGCCUGGGCUGCCCCGCCUCCCGGUGGGAGGUGCUGGGUCAGACCCCGGGGUGGGGUGGGGUGGGGUGGGAGGGACCCGGCGCCUCCCCAGGGUUGGCUCAGCCCCCGGGCCCUGCUUCCAGAUCCCCGGCGCCCGCGGGGAGGAGUGACGUCCCGGCCUGUCCUUGGCCACUGUGGAGCCAGCGUGGCGCUGGAGCUGGGCCCCAUGGGACCGCCCUACUUGUGUCUGGCUGGCCUUGGGGUCCCCACUGGGAGCCCGCCCUCGGCGGCCUCGGCCGGCGACGCCCACCCAGCCGCCCGGGGAGCAGCUGACCGGAGGGGGGGUUCUGGCCGGGAACAGCGCCUGCAUGCACCGUGCGGGGCUGGUGGCCAGGGCGGGGCCGGUCCCGAGCUGUGUGGACCUUGUCCCUGUGCAGGGGCCCGGGCGGGGGUGUGGCCGGGAA
rnacentral:lncRNA from 1 species